GCAGUUGUGGCUUAAUGGUUAGAGUCUCGGACCUAUAACCCGAAGGUCAUGGGUUCUAGUCAGGUCUGGCA